AACGCGAAGAACCUUACCUGGGCUUGACAUGUCCCUGACCGCCGUGGAAACACGGUUUCCCUUCGGGGCAGGGUCACAGGUGGUGCAUGGCUGUCGUCAGCUCGUGUCGUGAGAUGUUGGGUUAAGUCCCGCAACGAGCGCAACCCCCGUCGCAUGUUGCCAGCAUUUAGUUGGGGACUCAUGCGAGACCGCCGGUGACAAACCGGAGGAAGGUGGGGAUGACGUCAAGUCAUCAUGCCCCUUAUGCCCAGGGCUACACACGUGCUACAUUGGCGCGUACAGAGGGCUGCGAUACCGCGAGGUGGAGCGAAUCCCUUAAAGCGCGUCUCGGUUCGGAUUGCAGGCUGAAACUCGCCUGCAUGAAGGCGGAGUUGCUAGUAAUCGCGGAUCAGCAUUGCCGCGGUGAAUACGUUCCCGGGCCUUGUA
rnacentral:rRNA from 1 species